rnacentral:rRNA from 1 species
AUGGCGGUGGCGGCAGGUGCAGCGUGGUAUCGUGAAAUACAGAUUCAUGAAGAUCUGGGUCAUGUAUGCCGUGUCUGUGGUAUGAUUGUGAGAGAAGGGCUGACACAAUCAUUGAUUAUCAGUGGAGAAAGGCAUCAAGGUCAAGAGCAUAUUUCUCUGAAAAGCGUUCAAAGGAUUCUGAUGAGAUUGUCACUGGUGAAUGUUAGAAUCGCUGAAGAACUGAAUGCGUUAGACAUUGUUAUUCAUCCAAGACAUGAAAAGCAAAUGAGACCACAUCAGUUGGCAGGUUUCCACUUUCUGGUUAGUCUCGGUUGCAUUCUCGCUCAUGCCCCUGGUUCGGGGAAAACAUUUAUGCUGGUUAGUUUUUUUCAGAGCUUCUUGGCAAAGUAUCCCUCUGGAAGGCCUCUCGUUGUACUCCCUAAAGGCAUAUUAGGUACAUGGAAACGGGAAUUUCAACGAUGGCAAGUGGAGGACAUACCACUGUAUGAUUUGUGCUCUGUCAAGGGUGACAGAGAGAUCAGUUGGAAAUCCUUAACGCUUGGCAAACCAAUAGGAGUAUCCUCUUGGUUGGAUACACCCAGUUCUCUUGGAUCAUUAACAGUGAUGGGUGUGUCACCAUCGCAGCUGCAUGCUGGGACAUGUUGCUUAUGGUGCCUAACCUACUUAUAA